AUUUAUGUAGUUUAUUAAAACAUUACAUUUUCAAUGUAAAGAUAAAAAAAUUUUUUCAUAAAUA
rnacentral:tRNA from 1 species